UACGUAGGGGGCAAGCGUUGUCCGGAUUCAUUGGGCGUAAAGAGCGUGUAGGCGGCCAGGUAGGUCGGUUGUGAAAACUGGAGGCUCAACCUUCAGAGGUCGACCGAAACCAUCUGGCUAGAGUCCGGGAGAAGAGAGUGGAAUUCCUGGUGUAGCGGUGAAAUGCGCAGAUAUCAGGAAGAACACCCGUGGCGAAAGCGGCUCUCUGGACCGACACUGACGCUGAGGCGCGAAAGCUAGGGGAGCAAACGGG
rnacentral:rRNA from 1 species